CAGCCGCGGUAAUACGUAGGGUGCGAGCGUCGUCCGGAAUCACUGGGCGUAAAGAGCUCGUAGGUGGUUUGUUGCGUCGUCUGUGAAAUCCCGGGGCUUAACUUCGGGGUGGCAGGCGAUACGGGCAUAACUAGAGUGCUGUAGGGGAGACUGGAAUCCCUGGUGUAGCGGUGGAAUGCGCAGAUAUCAGGAGGAACACCGAUGGCGAAGGCAGGUCUCUGGGCAGUAACUGACGCUGAGGAGCGAAAGCAUGGGGAGCGAACAGGAUUAGAUACCCUGGUAGUCCAUGCUGUAAACGGUGGGCGUUAGGUGUGGGGACCGGUUUGGUUUCUGUGCCGUAGCUAACGCAUUAAGCGCCCCGCCUGGGGAGUACGGCCGCAAGGCUAAAACUCAAAGGAAUUGACGGGGGCCCGCACAAG
rnacentral:rRNA from 1 species